ACUGAACUGAGCCAGCUACAGCCAUCCACUGAUUAUCAGCACAGCAGGCACAGGAGACCAGCCCACUGACAGAGACACAGACAAACCACACGCACCAAAAUAAUAGCGAACCGAGACACAGACGUCGAGUAUGAAACCAAUCAAACAGUCACAGUAUCCUCGGGCAGUGAUUCUGAAUUUUAGCUGUAUAUGGGAACAUUAUGCAAGAACGGCGUUCGUGGACAUGGGUCGCCGUUACACGAUCCUGCGGACCAGUUACCUGAGGAUUUGUGUGAGACAGCGGCCCAUAUGCUUACAGAUCCCCCACCACAUUUCACAGAUGGCAACCGAUGUUGCGGGCUGCAGGCAUCUUUUGGCUUUCCCGUGAGAUAAACCCGCCUGGAUGCAGGAAAUAUGGUAAAAGAUGACUCACUGGACCAUUUUUUUCCGUUGUUUUGUGUUUAAUGCAUCGUUUGGGUCUUGGAUACAAACAGUUUCUGAAUGGCUGCCCUGCUAUAAAUUCCGCCUUUGUGUAAAGAGUUUUUGUUGAAACUGGUUACAGUUUGGACAUGUGUGGUCACUUAGCAACUGUCCUAAACAUCCCUGUUGGUGAACUUUGACAUCAAGUUAGAGUUCGCUGUUUAUGCCUAUUUGGCAUGAAUAUGCCAUGCUUUUGUAAUUUUUUGAGACAAUUCGAAUUGAGGUACCAAUAAUAUGGCCCAUUGCAACUUUACUAGUUGCCUCAUUUCACCAAGAAAACUCAAUAACUGAAGUGCUGAUUUUCAGAUUUCAUGUAAUGCAUUAAUUUUUCAGCUUCACUAAUAGGAUUAGCAGUUGCAAACUUACAAAAGACAUAUGCAGUAUCUUUUUUUACAGUCUAAAAAUCGGACAUUUCCAUCCCUAUUUCCAUGUCAUUUCAGUAAGAUGGGUUCCUGGAUCGAUAUCUUUUGUUGGUCCUGGAACAGCGGUCAUAUCAACCAUUCGUUUAAUUAUUAAUGUAGUUAAUGGUUAGGGUUAAGUAUAGGUUCCAGAUUCAUUGGUGGUCAAUGAAAGAUACCGAGGUCUACAACAGGGGUUCUCAACUCUUACCUCCAACCUUGAUCAAACUCACCUGCCGGUAACUUUCUAGUGAUCCUGAAGACCUUGAUUAGCUUGUUCAGGUGUGUUUGAUCAGGGUUGGAGCUAAAUUCUGGAGGAAAGUGGGCCUCCAGGGCCAGAGUUGAGAACCCCUGGUCUACAAGAUUAUUGACUGAUUUAAAAAGGACCCAAAUAAAUUACAUAAUUAUAAAUGAGAAAAAUCACCAACAUUAAAUUCAUCAAUCUAUAAAUAAAUAAAUAAAGCAAUAAUGUAUUUUUAAAUAAUCUUUAAUUAAUAAAUAAAUGGUUCACAGAUCUAAAUGCA
rnacentral:lncRNA from 1 species